rnacentral:rRNA from 1 species
UGAGGGAAUAUUGGGUCAAUGGACGAGAGUCUGAACCAGCCAAGUAGCGUGCAGGAUGACGGCCCUAUGGGUUGUAAACUGCUUUUAUAAGGGAAUAAAGUGAGAGUCGUGACUCUUUUUGCAUGUACCUUAUGAAUAAGGACCGGCUAAUUCCGUGCCAGCAGCCGCGGUAAUACGGAAGGUCCGGGCGUUAUCCGGAUUUAUUGGGUUUAAAGGGAGCGUAGGCCGUCUGUUAAGCGUGUUGUGAAAUGUCGGGGCUCAACCUGGGCAUUGCAGCGCGAACUGGCAGACUUGAGUGCGCGGGAAGUAGGCGGAAUUCGUCGUGUAGCGGUGAAAUGCUUAGAUAUGACGAAGAACUCCGAUUGCGAAGGCAGCCUGCUGUAGCGUAACUGACGCUGAAGCUCGAAAG